rnacentral:lncRNA from 1 species
GACGUUUCAUAAUCUUUCUGUUUUUAGGAUGGGAGCUCCCUGCCUCUCCACCGUGCCUGGCAUCUGGAGCCUCUCUAGGUACUGCAUUUUGAUAAAUUGAAGGUUUGUGGAACGCUGCAUUGAGCAAGUCUAUUGGUACCAUUUUCCAACAGCAUGUGCUCACUUCAUGUCUCUGUGCCACAUUUGGAAUGAAGAGAAUCUGAACUAAGAUGGGGUGAAAGUAGGAAAUCAUUCCCCCAUGUCAAGUGCAAGGGCUAUCCAGUUAGAGGCCAACACAGAUGUCUGAUCAAAGCAAUGCUUCUCCAGCUCGAGAGCACAUCAUCACCUGGAGAGCUCAUGAAAACAGAUUGCUGGGCUUCAUCCUCGAGUUUCUGAUUCAGUAGGGCAGGGUGGGGACUAAGAAUAUUCAUUUCUAAUGAGUUCCAGUGGUGCUGAUGUUUCCAGUCCAGGGAUCACCGGUGGAGACCCAUUAGUCUAUGCCAUCCUAGUCCCACCCGCCUGACACCUCAUGCUCACCAGAAGGACACCUUGGGCUGACCAGAGAGGAGGGUUUCUGUGUGAGAAG